GACUUUUGUCCAAACCAGUAGACCUUCAUAGUCCUGUAACCCAGAUUUUGUAAUUUGCUUGGGAUUUCUGUAUCAAGUGAGUGUACACCAGCUAACAGUAGUCCCAGGGCUGGUGAACACAAAGUCCUGUUUUCUCGAAAUGAUUUUUUGAAAAACCAGUUGCCAUAGAGCCACCAUGAGUGGGCUCUCCCGGCGCGCGUCCAUGAACACCCAUUGGUGCCAGUAUCCUUACACCUUCUUCCCGGCCGUCAGGUGGGUGCCUGGGCCAACGAUUUUUAUGAAGGAGACACACGCGGAACACUAGCCCUGGGUGGUGAACUGCAAGCUGAAGAAGUGACGAAAGAG
rnacentral:lncRNA from 1 species